ACAUGUUGUUAAGAAGAAGAACGACAGAGAUUAUUGAGGCAAGUUAAAGAAAUCGACGCAUUGAAAACUAGGAUGGAAACACUUGAAUCUGAUCAUUAAAUUUUGUCUAUCCAUUUGGUGCAACGCUACAUGUUGUAAAACCAGCGAUUCCUGUGUUAUCGACUGGGACAGUUUCAUUGCCAGUAAAUCGUCCGGUUUGUGCAUUUCAUUCUUCAAAGCAGCAGGAAAAGAUACGUAGAUAUAGCAAAGAAAUGUUCAAGAUGUAAUCAUCGUACCAAAGGCAGGCAACAAGUAAUGAUAAAUGUUAUUCUUCUUCUUUCAUUGAUAAUAUCAUUCCUCCAACAGCAGCAGGAAAAGAUACG